rnacentral:rRNA from 1 species
GAGUUUGAUCGUGGCUCAGAUUGAACGCUGGCGGCAUGCCUUACACAUGCAAGUCGAACGGCAGCACGGGAGCUUGCUCCUGGUGGCGAGUGGCGAACGGGUGAGUAAUGCAUCGGAACGUAUCCUGGAGUGGGGGAUAACGUAGCGAAAGUUACGCUAAUACCGCAUAUUCUGUGAGCAGGAAAGCGGGGGACCUUCGGGCCUCGCGCUCUUGGAGCGGCCGAUGUCGGAUUAGCUAGUUGGUGAGGUAAAGGCUCACCAAGGCGACGAUCCGUAGCAGGUCUGAGAGGAUGAUCUGCCACACUGGAAUUGAGACACGGUCCAGACUCCUACGGGAGGCAGCAGUGGGAAUUUGGACAAUGGGGCAACCCUGAUCCAGCCAUGCCGCGUGAGUG